rnacentral:rRNA from 1 species
UGGCGGCGUGCUACACAUGCAGUCGACGGAAAGGCCUGCAGCUUGCUGCGGGUACUCGAGUGGCGAACGGGUGAGUAACACGUGGGUGAUCUGCCUUGCACUUCGGGAUAAGCUUGGGAAACUGGGUCUAAUACCGGAUAGGACAGCUGUUUAGUGUCAGUUGUGGAAAGUUUUUUCGGUGCAAGAUGAGCUCGCGGCCUAUCAGCUUGUUGGUGGGGUAAUGGCCUACCAAGGCGUCGACGGGUAGCCGGCCUGAGAGGGUGUACGGCCACAUUGGGACUGAGAUACGGCCCAGACUCCUACGGGAGGCAGCAGUGGGGAAUAUUGCACAAUGGGCGGAAGCCUGAUGCAGCGACGCCGCGUGGGGGAUGAAGGCCUUCGGGUUGUAAACUCCUUUCGACAGGGACGAAGCGUAAGUGACGGUACCUGUAUAAGAAGCACCGGCUAACUACGUGCCAGCAGCCGCGGUAAUACGUAGGGUGCGAGCGUUGUCCGGAAUUACUGGGCGUAAAGAGCUCGUAGGUGGUUUGUCGCGUCGUCUGUGAAAUUCCGGGGCUUAACUCCGGGCGUGCAGGCGAUACGGGCUGACUUGAGUGCUGUAGGGGAGACUGGAAUUCCUGGUGUAGCGGUGAAAUGCGCAGAUAUCAGGAGGAACACCGAUGGCGAAGGCAGGUCUCUGGGCAGUAACUGACGCUGAGGAGCGAAAGCAUGGGUAGCGAACAGGAUUAGAUACCCUGGUAGUCCAUGCCGUAAACGGUGGGCGCUAGGUGUAGGGGGCUUCCACGUCUUCUGUGCCGUAGCUAACGCAUUAAGCGCCCCGCCUGGGGAGUACGGCCGCAAGGCUAAAACUCAAAGGAAUUGACGGGGGCCCGCACAAGCGGCGGAGCAUGUGGAUUAAUUCGAUGCAACGCGAAGAACCUUACCUGGGCUUGACAUAUACAAGACAGACGUAGAGAUACGUCCUCCCUUGUGGUUUGUAUACAGGUGGUGCAUGGUUGUCGUCAGCUCGUGUCGUGAGAUGUUGGGUUAAGUCCCGCAACG